AUGAGGGAGUGCAUCUCGAUCCACAUCGGCCAGGCCGGCAUCCAGGUCGGGAACGCGUGCUGGGAGCUCUACUGCCUCGAGCAUGGCAUUCAGCCUGAUGGCCAGAUGCCCGGUGACAAGACCGUUGGGGGAGGUGAUGAUGCUUUCAACACCUUCUUCAGCGAGACUGGUGCUGGGAAGCAUGUCCCCCGUGCUGUCUUUGUAGAUCUCGAGCCCACUGUGAUUGAUGAGGUGAGGACUGGUGCUUACCGCCAGCUCUUCCACCCUGAGCAGCUUAUCAGUGGCAAGGAGGAUGCAGCCAACAACUUCGCCCGUGGUCAUUACACCAUUGGCAAGGAGAUUGUUGAUCUGUGCCUUGACCGUAUCAGGAAGCUUUCAGACAACUGCACUGGUCUCCAGGGAUUCCUUGUAUUCAACGCUGUUGGAGGUGGAACUGGCUCUGGCCUUGGCUCGCUUCUCCUGGAGCGCCUCUCUGUUGACUAUGGAAAGAAGUCCAAGCUUGGGUUCACGGUGUACCCAUCUCCCCAGGUCUCCACCUCUGUUGUUGAGCCAUACAACAGUGUCCUGUCCACCCACUCACUCCUUGAGCACACUGAUGUCUCUAUCCUUCUUGACAAUGAGGCCAUCUAUGACAUCUGCCGCCGCUCCCUUGACAUUGAGCGCCCAACAUACACCAACCUCAACAGGCUUGUUUCUCAGGUCAUUUCAUCACUGACAGCUUCCCUGAGGUUUGAUGGUGCUCUGAAUGUUGAUGUCAAUGAAUUCCAGACCAACUUGGUGCCCUACCCGAGGAUCCACUUCAUGCUUUCCUCCUAUGCCCCAGUGAUCUCAGCUGAGAAGGCUUACCAUGAGCAGCUGUCCGUUGCUGAGAUCACCAACAGCGCCUUUGAGCCUUCGUCCAUGAUGGCCAAGUGCGACCCCCGCCACGGCAAGUACAUGGCCUGCUGUCUCAUGUACCGUGGUGAUGUUGUGCCAAAGGACGUCAACGCUGCUGUGGCCACCAUCAAGACCAAGCGCACUAUUCAGUUUGUUGACUGGUGCCCCACUGGCUUCAAGUGUGGUAUCAACUACCAGCCACCAGGUGUCGUCCCAGGCGGUGACCUUGCCAAGGUCCAGAGGGCUGUGUGCAUGAUCUCCAACUCCACCAGUGUCGUCGAGGUCUUCUCCCGCAUCGACCACAAGUUUGACCUGAUGUACGCCAAGCGUGCCUUCGUCCACUGGUACGUCGGUGAGGGCAUGGAGGAGGGAGAGUUCUCUGAGGCCCGUGAGGAUCUCGCUGCCCUGGAGAAGGACUAUGAAGAAGUUGGUGCUGAGUUCGACGAGGGUGAGGACGGUGAUGAGGGCGAUGAGUAUUAA
rnacentral:rRNA from 1 species